rnacentral:rRNA from 1 species
UACGUAGGGCGCAAGCGUUGUCCGGAAUUAUUGGGCGUAAAGAGCUCGUAGGUGGUUUGUCGCGUCCGCUGUGAAAACCCGAGGCUCAACCUCGGGCCUGCAGUGGGUACGGGCAGACUAGAGUGCGGUAGGGGAGACUGGAAUUCCUGGUGUAGCGGUGGAAUGCGCAGAUAUCAGGAGGAACACCGAUGGCGAAGGCAGGUCUCUGGGCCGCAACUGACACUGAGGAGCGAAAGCAUGGGGAGCAAACAGG